AUGCAAGACUACUUCUCGGGGAAUCCAACAUAUCCACUGCACCUCUUCCGGAGAAGGUACCGAAUGCGCUGAUCUCUCUUUGUGAAAAUUGUUCAAGCUUGUGAGGCAAAUUGUCGGUAUUUUACUCAAAGAAGAAAUGCCACGGGCUUAAAGGGAUUUAGUGCAUAUCAAAAAAUCUCGGCAACUAUGCGUGUGAUUGCAUACGGCGUUCCGGCUGACUAUGCCGAUGAGUACCUUCGCAUUGGCGAAGAUACCACAAUUGAGUCAGUACGUAGGUUUGCCAAAGUGAUCAUACGUGUCUUUGGUCCUGAAGAGUGGCGUAGCUAG
rnacentral:rRNA from 1 species